rnacentral:tRNA from 1 species
GCCCUCUUAGCUCAGAGGAUAGAGCGUCUGCCUCCGGAGCAGAAGGUCGUAGGUUCGAAUCCUACAGAGGGCGCCA